AUUGAACGCUGGCGGCAUGCUUUACACAUGCAAGUCGAGCGGCAGCGCGGGGGCAACCCUGGCGGCGAGCGGCGAACGGGUGAGUAAUGCAUCGGAACGUACCCUGGAGUGGGGGAUAACGCCGCGAAAGCGGCGCUAAUACCGCAUAUGCUCUGAGGAGGAAAGUGGGGGACCGCAAGGCCUCACGCUCUGGGGGCGGCCGAUGUCCGAUUAGCUAGUUGGUGGGGUAAAGGCUUACCAAGGCGACGGUCGGUAGGUGGUCUGAGAGGAUGAUCAGCCACACUGGGACGGAGACACGGCCCAGAAUCCUACGGGAGGCAGCAGUGGGGAAUUUUGGACAAUGGGGGCAACCCUGAUCCAGCCAUGCCGCGUGAGUGAAGAAGGCCUUCGGGUUGUAAAGCUCUUUUGGUCGGGAAGAAAGCGCCUUGCCUAAUACGCGAGGUGGUUGACGGUACCGGCAGAAUAAGCACCGGCUAACUACGUGCCAGCAGCCGCCGUAAGAC
rnacentral:rRNA from 1 species